rfam:Oryza glaberrima chromosome 12 Oglab12_0254_1, whole genome shotgun sequence.
UUUAAGGGCAACCAUAAAUUUUCGUGUCCAACUUUAAUCGUCCGUCUUAUUUAAACUUUUUGUUAUUAGUAUUUUAUUUUUAUUAUAUAAAAAGACAUGAAUAGCACUUUAUGGAUGACUUAUGUUUUAAAUUUUUUUCAAAAAAUUUUAAAUAAGACGAACGAUUAAAGUUCGGUAUGGAAAAUCAUGGCUGCACUUAAA